UAGAUACAUAGGUCCACAAUCUGUGACUGU
rnacentral:piRNA from 1 species